AACACUGGAUUUAAACGAACGGAUAGGGAUCUCCUUUGGUCAUGCUGUAGUGCAAAAGAAUUCCUGGUUUUUGUUGCACGGCCACCAUUCUGCCAAAUUGCUGUCGCUAUACAGAGCUAAAGAGCACUU
ensembl:snoRNA